GCGUUACAUUUGCCAUCGAACCAUCAUCUCUCGAUGAUGGCUUCCUCAGAAUAAAAGCUUUUCAUCAAAGGCACGCCAAGAAACAAUGAAAGUUGUUUCUCUUAAGAGUUGUGAUUCAUUUGAAAAAACCAUGAUCGUUGUGAUAUGAAACAUCGUGUUUCAUCUCAUAUUUUCUGUGAUUGCUUGUUUAGACAUUGAAAGAUCAAUAAUGUGUGUAAUGUUUGUAGAUUGAUUGUAAGAAAAUGGGCUAUGAAACGCCGUGUUUCAUCUCAUAUUUCCAUGAUUGCUUGUUUUUACAUUGAAGGAUAAAUAAUGUGUAGAGCUUGUAGAUUGAUUGUAAGAAAAUGGAACAUGUCGAAUAUUUCAUUUUAGUACAAACAUCUUGUGAAUUACUCCCUCCGUUCCAUGAAGCAUGGCACAGUUCUUUUCGGCACGGGAAUUAAGAAAUUGGUAUUUUGUGUGUUCAGUGUGGUAGGUGAAAAAGUGAAAAUAUAAAUAAAGGGUAAAUUUUUUGCUAUUUUUAUAAACGUGUCAUGUUUCGUGGGACAGACCAAAAAGGAAACUGUGUCAUGCUUCGUGGGACGGAGGGAGUAGUACUUAAUUGUGUAAGGUAUUUUUUC
rnacentral:lncRNA from 1 species